rnacentral:misc_RNA from 1 species
UCUCCGUAGGUGAACCUGCGGAGGGAUCAUUACCAGAGAUGGCGGGCCCCCGGCCCCCGUCCCCAACCCUUUGUGAACACAACUUGUUGCUUCGGGGGCGACCCUGCCGUUUCGACGGCGAGCGCCCCCGGAGGUCUUCUAAACACUGCAUCUUUGCGUCGGAGUUUAAACAAAUUAAACAAAACUUUCAACAACGGAUCUCUUGGUUCUGGCAUCGAUGAAGAACGCAGC